GACGAACGCUGGCGGCGUGCUUAACACAUGCAAGUCGAACGGUGAAGCGCCUUCCUUUUUGGUGGGUGUGGAUGAGUGGCGAACGGGUGAGUAACACGUGAGUAACCUGCCCCCUUCUUCUGGAUAACCGCAUGAAAGUGUGUCUAAUACGGGAUAUUCUGGGUCUGUCGCAUGAUGGGUCUGGGACAGAUAUUGUUUCGGUGGGGGAUGGGCUCGCGGCCUAUCAGCUUGUUGGUGGGGUGAUGGCCUACCAAGGCGGUGACGGGUAGCCGGCCUGAGAGGGUGGACGGUCACACUGGGACUGAGGCACGGCCCAGACUCCUACGGGAGGCAGCAGUGGGGAAUAUUGCACAAUGGGCGAAAGCAUGAUGCAGCGACGCCGGGUGAGGGAUGGAGGCCUUCGGGUUGUGAACCUCUUUCGCCAGUGAAGCAGGCCUGCCUGGUUUGUGGGUGGGUUGACGGUAGCUGGAUAAGAAGCGCCGGCUAACUACGUG
rnacentral:rRNA from 1 species